rnacentral:rRNA from 1 species
AGCCUGCCUUUGAAACUGGAUGACUUGAGGGCAGGUGAGGGGAGUGGAAUUCCCAGUGUAGCGGUGAAAUGCGUAGAUAUUGGGAGGAACACCAGUGGCGAAGGCGGCUCUCUGGCCUGUUUCUGACGCUGAGGCGCGAAAGCUUGGGGAGAAAACGGGAUUAGAUACCCUGGUAGUCCACUCCGUAAACGAUGGGUGCUAGGUGUGGGAGGUAUCAACCCCUUCUGUGGCGGAUUUAACACAAUAAGCACCCCGCCUGGGGAGUACGGCCGCAAGGUUGAAACUCAAAGGAAUUGACGGGGGCCCGCACAAGCGGUGGAGCAUGUGGUUUAAUUCGACACUUCGCGAAGAACCUUACCAGGGCUUGACAUCAUCUGACCGCAUAUGAUAUUUUGUUUUCUGACUUCGGUCAGACAAAGAGACAUGUGAUGCAUGCAUAUCAUCAGCUCGUGUCGUGAGAUGUUGCGUUUAGUCCCGAAUCGAGCCCAAUGCCCUACCCUUUAGGUGCUAACCCGCGACGAUUACUACUCUAGGCAGACUUGCCGGCUGACACUACCGAGGAAGGGUGGCUUAUGAGUGUCAAAUCAUCAUGCCCCUUAUGUUCAUGCCCUCCUCCCCUGCUACCCUGUCCCGGUACGGAGGGAACUACAGCCGCAAGGUAGUCCCAAAUGCCUAUCAACGCCUGGUCCUCACUUCCGCAUUCGCAGGCUGCACUUAGA